AUGGACUUAAGGCUCAUAUUGGUUUCCUUUUUUCUUAUUUUAAAAGGUGUCCAGUGUGAGGUGCAAUUGCUGGAGUCUGGGGGAGGCUUAGUGCAGCCUGGAAAGACCCUGAAACUCUCUUGUGCAGCCUCUGGAUUCUCCUUCAGUGGCUCCUGGAUGAACUGGGUCCGCCAGGCUCCAGGGAAGGGGCUAGAGUGGGUCGCAUACAUUAGUAAUGAUGGCAGUAGCACCUCCUAUGCUGACGCUGUGAAGGGCUGGUUCACAAUCUCCAGAGACAAUGCCAAGAACACUCUGUACCUGGAAAUGAGCAGUCUGAAGUCUGAGGACACAGCCAUGUAUUACUGUGCAACAGACACAAUGAGUGAAUGUUACUGUGAGCUCAGACAAAAACACCUCUCUGGGGAACACGGGACCAGCAGGAGGCGCUGA